rnacentral:piRNA from 1 species
UAAUCACCAAGAAGUCAAAAUGAGCAGC